rnacentral:lncRNA from 12 species
AUCAGAUCAUUGUAGGCCCAACAAGUCAUGAGCUGUGUCCUUAUGGAUCUUCAUAGUACUCCAUCAAUGGGGCCAUCUGCCACAGUGAUUCAGCCAUUCAAGGCCCUUGGCACUUGACCUGAUGCUAUUCUCUUGCCAUGUCUGCCGUGCUGCAAGGAGCACCUUGUGUGUCCCCACAGACUGUUUCAGUUGCUAGAUCUGCCAUAACCCGGAAGCCCAGUUUGGGUGGAAGCCCUCGGAUGUCUCCUGACCCAAGUAGCUGACUCUGUCUUUUCUGUUCAGAUCCACACAGGAAAUAUUGGAUGAGUUGCUCCAAGGGUUCAAUUGCUCCAUCUCCCCCUGAGACACACAGGUGCAUCAGGCCACAAGCAUGGCCGGUCUGGGCUGAGAACAGGUCCCAUUCAUGGUGAAAAUCAGGACCCACAUAUGAUCAGGGCAAGCCAAGAACCCAGACUAGAAACAACUGGCUCCCCUGGAGCCUGCCGGAGAAGGUGCUCUCCCCUGAUCCUUCCUCCCUAGGUCAGGAACAGACCAAGGAACAUCAGCUUAGGGGAAAGGCCACACAGCCCAGCCCAUGCUUUGGUCUCUUCUCAGGCCCAAUAUGUGGGAUCUUGAGCAGCAUUUGAGGUGCUAACCCUCUGUGUUCUAUCUGCAGUGGGAUGUUUACGGAUGACUCCAUGGAAUACUGGUCUUCGUAAAAGCUCUGAGUUGAGAGAAAUGCGGAUGUUGCUCAGCUACUUGAAUGUGUUGAAGUUGCCAAUGCUCUGCCCUGCGUCCCAACCAACCAAUGGUACUUUGAAGCCUAGAACCUUUUUCUGUGUGGGCCCUGAAGUCCUUUGUCCUGCACAACUUCCCGAGGGGAUGGGUGUCUCUGGGCUGAGCACCAGACCCUGAUCUUCCCAGUGGCCCGUGGUUGGGAAGCUGACUACAGUGCCCCUCCUUGUGUCUCUGGUGUGGAAAGGAAUCAUCCACCCUGACCCUGGGUGAGGCCUGGACCAUGCGGACGCUCCAAGAAGGCAGAAUGGAUACUUUUGUACAGUCCCUGCUGCGAUCCUUCCAGGAGAGGAGCCUCUCAGAAAACGCAGUCGUUUCCUGUCUCUACCAGGUGUUCAGCACAGCCCAAAGGGUCCUGGGCCAGCAUCUCCACAGCGAUACAGCCUCCACCUUAGUACUCUGGGUGCUGCUGAAGACAAAUGGGCUUCUGCACCGGUGUCCUGCCUGCACGAGGUAACCAGGCGUUCACUUACUGACAUCCACUCCUCCCAUGGGAGGGGUCGCCUCCACCACACGAAUCAGCUAUAUUCGGCGUUUCCUUAGGAGAGGGACAGCGUCGGGAAAGUUCCUCCAAGCGCUUCCACUGCAACCAACUUUUCUCCCCCUCCAAUAAUGUGCCGGAGUCUCCCUUUGGGAAGCUGGUCUUCUACCGUUUCUGUCUCACAUGGGGGUGCCUACUUAGGUCAUUUCUUGCCUGACAGUGAUGGGCAGGGUCCAUGCUGUCUCCCUGGCUUAGCUGGUUCUGUAGCCCGUAUGGAGGUUUGUCUGCUCCUUACUGGCUGCACUGGUAAAUGAGGUGCUUCCUGGGUCCCUUUGCUAAGUUCCCAAAGACUUCCCAAGGUGCUUUUUUUCACUUUUUAAAAAAGAUUUACUUAUUUUAUUUAUCUUUAAAAUAAUUUUUUUAUUGGAGUUCUAUUUGCCAACAUAUAGCAUAUCACCCAGUGCUCACCCAGUCACCGCAUCCCCCCGCCCACCUCCCCUUCCACCACCCCUUGUUCGUUUCCCAGAGUUAGGAGUCUCAUGGUCUGUCUCCCUCACUGAUAUUUUCCACUCAUUUUCUCUCCUUUCCCCUUUAUUCCCUUUCACUGUGUUUUAUAUUCCCCAAAUGAAUGAGACCAUAUAAUGUUUGGUUUUUUUGUUUAUACAUGAAUGUCUAAUCCAUUGAUUAAAAAGGGAGAUUAAAAAAAGGAAUGUCACACUGCCAUGUUGUUGAUGUCACUCCUAUGCAUUUUGUCUUUUAUACCAAAUAGUAAAACCAAAGAAGUUUACAAACCAAAAUAAAAUAACCCUGGCUUUUACA